rnacentral:rRNA from 1 species
AAUACGGAGGGUGCGAGCGUUGUCCGGAAUCAUUGGGCGUAAAGGGCGCGUAGGUGGCCCGGUCAGUCUUUGGUGAAAGCGCGGGGCUCAACCCUGCGUCGGCCAGGGAUACUGCCGCGGCUCGAGCACUGUAGAGGCAGGCGGAAUUCCGGGUGUAGCGGUGGAAUGCGUAGAGAUCCGGAAGAACACCGGUGGCGAAGGCGGCCUGCUGGGCAGUAUGGCUGACACUGAGGCGCGACAGCGUGGGGAGCAAACAGGA